rnacentral:lncRNA from 1 species
ACUUUAUUCUUAAUUACUUUUUUUUUGUCUUUAUUUUUUUAGAACUGCACCCAUAGCAUAUGGAAGUUCCCAGGGUAGGGGUCUAACUGGAGUUGUAGUCGCCAGCCUAUGCCAGAGCCACAGCAAUGCCAGACCCGAGUCACAUCUGCGACCUACGCCACAGCUCACGGCAAUGCCAAAUCCUUAACCCACUGAGUGGCCAGGGAUAGAACCCACGUCCUCCAGGAUACUAGUCGGGUUUGUUACUACUGAGCCAUAAUGGGAACUCCUUUUCUUAGUUAUUUAUAUCAGUACACCGUGGAAGCAGAAAUAUUUCCCACUAUAAAGCUCACAGGAUGAAUAACAAAAACAAAAAAAGAACAACAAAAAAACCCACCAUAUUAAGCAAACCCUCUGAUUCCUUAAUUUUUUUCCAAAGUGUUGUUUGGGGUGGUUAUUAGGUCUUUAGUAUUUUUUUUCAUGUUCUAUGUUUGCUUUUGUUUUCAUGACUUCUUGACCGCUGGAUCCCACAAGCAUACAAAUGAUUUAACACUGUGCAAACAGCAAUGUAUUAGUCAGAACCUUUGUAACAUUUUGUAUGGCAACACAAAGUCCAUUGUGAAGGACAGAUACAAUUCAAAGCACAGCACUGAGGAGUGUGAGUGAAAAGAGUUGAAUGUAUACGAUCUGAAAUAAAGAAGGUUUAAGAGAGACUGAUUUGGAGUUCCCAUAGUGGCGCAAUGGUUAACGAAUCCGACUAGCAACCAUGAGGUUGUGGGUUCGGUCCCUGGCCGCCGCUCAGCGGGUUAAGGAUCUGGCAUUGCCGUGAGNAAAGAAAAAAAAAAAAAAAGAGAGAGAGAGAGAGAGACUGACUUGUUUCUGAGUACGAAAAGGAUUCCUACAUAAAAGAUAGAAAAAAUUAUUCUUAGUCUCAUGGGGCAGAUGCAAAUUACAGCAGGGAGAAUUUAAAUUAGACAUUAGAAGACCUCUACAGAGAAAGACAAAUAUCAUAUGGUAUCAUUUCUACAUGGCAUCUAAUAAAAAUGACACAAAAGAUCUUAUUUAUGAAACAGAAACAAACUCACAGAUUUCAAAAUAAUCUUAUGGUUACCAUAGAUAAAACCAUGGGAGGGGGGUGGAAGAAUUGGGAGGGUGGAAAUAACAUAUACACACUACUGUAUAAAAUAGAUGAUUAACUAGCACCACUUUACCACAGGAAAAUCCACUCAAUAGUGUGUAAUUACCUAGAUGGGAAAAAAAGAAUGGAUAUAUUUAUAUGUAUGACUGAUUCGCUUUGCAGUACACCUGAAACUAAUACAAUAUUGUAAGUCAACCAUACUCCAUAAAAUUAAAUAAAUAAAUCUCAUUACCACAGGAAAAAAAGAAAAAGAAAAUGAACUCUCGGGAUUAUGGAAUGUGGGUAUAUCCUGUCACAAGAUUUUUUUUUUAUUUGAGAGUUUUGAUUAUUUUUUUUAAGCAGGGUAGAGUUGAUAGUUAUUUUUAAAUAAUUUUAAGAUAAAUGGAAAACCAAGAUGACUCAAUUUAUUAAAGCAAAAAUUCACAUCAAGACUUCUUGCAGGGAUGGACUGAUAGGUAAGGCACAUCUCUUCCCUCAAGAGUUACAGUAUUGAAAGAAGGGUGAGCAGGUUUAGCCAAAUAUAAAAAUAACUGCACAUAAAGCAUUUAUUUCUGCAGAGUAUAUUGCUGUAAUGACAGACUGUAUAUAAGAUUAUAUCACUCGUGACAAAAACUGAGAUUCAGGUAUCUCAGCCUAUAGGACAUGUUUCUUAAAGUGAAACUGAGCAUUGGUUGAAUAACCAUAAGAUGAACUCACUACAGAAAAUAAAAAGAAUCUAUUUGGCUAUGCUAUACAAUAUAAUUUAAUACUAUUUGGUAAACAGGGUUGGACACCAUGGGUUUUCACAUUUUUGAGAAAGGAAGAGAAAGCUUUUAUGUUAGGAAAACUUGCAGAAGGAAGACAAUGUGCUUAAGGAAGAAUCUUUACAUUUCAAAUUUUUCAAUUUCAUAACAGACCUAGCAUAAUUAUAACUUUUAAAUUUCUGCAGUAUGUCUAUGUGUAUGUGACUCUGGAGUUGAAAGAAUGCCCAUAUAAAAAAUACCAUAAGGAGGAAUUCCUGUUGUGGCCCAGUGGUAAUGAGCCUGGCUAGUAUCCAUGAAGAUGCAGGUUCAAUCCCUGGCCUAAGUCAGUGAGUUAAGGAUCCAGCAUUGCUGUGAGCUGUGGUGUAGGUCGCAGACACAGCUCAGGUCCCAUGCUGAUGUGGCUGUGGCUGGCAGCUGUAGCUCCAAUUUGACCCCUAGCCUGGGAACUUCCAAAUGCUGCAGGUGCAGCCCUAAAAAACAAACAAACAGAAAUAAUACCAUAAGGAAAUUUAUAUUGCAUCAUGGAAUACGAAUGGAAGAAAGGUUUGGGGUUUUGGGUUUUUGUUUGUUUGUUUGUUUUUUGUCGUGCCCACUACAUAUGGAAGUUCCCAGGGCCAGGGAUCAAACCCACACCACAGCAGGGACCCAAGCUGCUGCAGUGACAAUGCUAGAUCCUUAACUUGCUGCACCACUAGUGAAUUCCUUAAGAAAAGUGUUUUAAAAUGUGCUUCAGGAGUUCCUGCUGUGGUUCAAUGAGACUGAUGGUGUCUCUGGAGCAAUGGGACACAGGUUCAAUUCCUUGGCCCACAUAGUGUGUUAAGAAUCCAGCAUUGAUGCAGCAGUGGUAUAGGUCAAAACUGCAGCUUGGAUAUCUGAUCCCUGGCCCAGGAAUUUCCAUGUGCUGUACAAAGCAGCCAAAAAAGCCCCAAUGAAACACCCAAAAUUUGCUUCAUAUUCAGUGCCAUGCUUUGGACACUUGGUAAAUAUAUUCAUAUGUAGUAAAUCAAAUAUCCACUGAUAAAUGGCAUUGACUUUUUUUUUAAAUCACUUAGCCUGUCUAAUUCUCAUGUAUAUGUGUUAGCAAUAAGCUCUCUGUAAAUCAGAUGCAGAGAAACACUGUUUUCACAUUCCUCAGUGUCCCACUAAUGCUAGUAGGAACAUAGUAUCUCUAAUAAAACAGGCUUGGCUUCUUCAAAAUUAAAACUAUAAAAAAUAAUUUUCAGCAAAAUAUAACCUAAUUUAUGGUCAUUAACAUUCAUCAAGAAAAUGCUAAAACUGCAGUAGAUAAACUGGCAAUGGAUAACCAAAACAAUUUAUUCCAAAAAAGUUUUAAUUAAAAUGAAAAAAAUGCUAUCAAGAAAUAUAAAUAAAACAUUUUCCUUUAAUAUUCAGAAAUGAUUUUAAUUAUAAUGAUCAGCAUUGAGGAUUGUGAUAUUCAAGUGAACAUUUGCAAACAGAGCUUGUGUAAAUAGAACUUGAUACAAUCUUUAAGGAAAGCUAACAUGCAAUUCAGAUCAUAAGCUUUAAGAAGCUUAUAUAAGAAAGCCAUAACUUUGACAAAAUUUUUAUACUUUUAAGAAUUUACCCUAUUUCAUCACCCUGAUCCUAAAACCAGACAAAGAUAUCACAAAAAAAGAAAAUUGCAGGCCAACAUCACUGAUGAACAUAGAUGCAAAAAUCCUCAACAAAAUACUAGCAAACUGAAUCCAACAAUAUAUUAAAAGGAUCAUACACCAUGAUCAAGUGGAAUUUAUCCCAGAGAUGCAAGGAUUUUUCAAUAUCCACAAAUUAAUUGGUGUGAUAUGCCACAUUAACAAACUGAAGAAUAAAAACCAUAUGAUCAUCUCAAUAGAUGCAGAAAAAGCUUUUGACAAAGUCCAACACCCAUUACUGAUAAAAAUCCUCUAGAAAGUGGGCAUAGAGGGAACCUACCUCAACAUAAUAAAGGCAUACAUGACAAACCUGCAGUUAACAUCAUACUCAAUGGUGAAAAGCUGAAAGAAUUUCCACUAAGAUCCAGAGCAAGACAAGGAUGUCCACUUUUGCUGCUUCUAUUCAACAUAGUUCUGGAAGUCCUAGCCAUGGCAAUCAGAGAAGAAAAAGAAAUAAAAGGAAUCCAAAUUGGAAAGGAAGAAGUAGAAACUAUCACUGUUUGCAGAUGACAUGCUAUACCCAGAAAAUCCUAAAGAUGCUACCAUAAAACUGUUAGAGCUCAUAAAUGAAUUCAGAAAAAGUGGCAGGAUACAAAAUUAAUACACAGGAAUCAAUUGUCAGGAUACUGUAAACCAACUAUAAUGGAUAAAAUAAAAAUCAUAAAAUAAAAAAAGAAUGAUUGCAUUUCUAUAUACUAACAAUAAAAGAUCAGAAAGAGAAAUUAGAGAAACAAUCCCAUUUACCAUCACAUCAAAAA